UAAGUAUUUAAGCUACUUGUUUUGUUAAUUUGAAUCAAGUAAGUUUUAAAAUGAUGAGUAGUUUUUAGUUAUUGUGAGUAUCCCUAGUUAUUUCAUUAUCAUCAUAUCCUGUUACUUCUACAGAAUCUCCAAAGUAUUUUUAACAUUUCUGUCACUUUGUUUUUGGUUAACUACAUGUAGAUUGAAAGAAAACUCUUCUAUUCUUUAUUUUAGCUAAUACACAUGAGUUUAUUGUUUUAGGACUGUUUACAAAUAGGUAAAUACUAUACAAGUCCAGCAGUUUGUGCACAGCCAUAAUACAACAGUGAUACAAAAAUACUUCCAUACAGAGACAUUUAACCUCAUGAAAUAGAAUACAGUAAAGAACUCAUUUUUUAAAUUUUAAUUGCUCAGUUACAUUUUAACAACAGUUGUACAUAUGCUUGCUUGAUACUUAAGCCUGUUAUCAAUAAAUAAUUACAAUAAAACUUUAAUUUAUUAAUUUAAAAUAAUUAUAAUUUGAUAACAAUUAAAAAUUCGAUAAACUUAGAUAUUGUUCAACUCUACAUAAAAGUUUGUAACCUGUCGAGUAACACUGCUAGUUAAACAUUACACGUGUAUAUCAAUUAAUAGCUCAAAGUUUUUGAAACUAACUACUGAAAUACCCCACAUCUUGGCCAUUUCUUAAUCUAAGGUAAACAUACAUUUUCUGAUGAGGUGGUUGACACACCUAAACACUCAAAGAAAUCAUUAUUCAUUUAAUAAUAGUUAAUUUGAAAAGUGGAAAUCAAAAAAGCCUCAUCUGAUUGACGAGAAUAAAAAUAAAUAAAUUCUUUAUUAAGUUGCAAUCAUAACUAAUUGUAAACAUAUAUAUAAAAAAAAUCACUCUCCAAUAAAGUCUUGUCUUAACUCUUUAAAACUAGUCAAGUAAAAAUAAUAAGUUUCUUUUUAAAGCACAUAUAUAUAUGUAAAAUUCAGCUAACUAAGCUAAAAAAGUGUUGCAUAUAGAGGAUCAGAGAAAUCAAAUUGGGGCUCAUACUGUGAUGUACAAAUACUAAAAUGUAUCCUCCUAUGAAAGUUAUAUGUUAAGACUGUUCAUACAUUAAAAUUAGAAAGAAGACAAAUGUGUAUCUACACUUUCUGUGCUUUACAGAGUUCUCUUAUGAUAGACAUUAAUAUUUUACAAUGACAAAGAAGACAUUAUAUUUUUGCCUAGUUUCAGAAAAUAUCUCAUGCUGAGAAUAUAAAUGAAAUCAGUUUUAAAGCGUACAGAAUUACCACUAUGUGAAAAAAUAUUUCCAGCACUUUAAUAACUUCAACAAAUUUAUUAAUUUUUUGGCAAUUACUACAUCUAUAAUUUAUAAAACUCUUGCCAUUGAACAGUUGUAACACGUUCACAACAAAUACAGAUAUACACACACACACACACACACACACCACAAAACAGCAGAUUUAUAUAUUCCAAUGAAUAUUUAUAACUUACCAAUUGUUAGUAGUCCACAACACCAAUAAAACAUCAAUUAUUACAGUGUGAUAUGUAUUAAAAGCCUGAACAAAAUAACAUAAUUAGAUUGGAAUACUCUUGCUCCAUGUCAAAUACAAAUGAAAAUUUUGGAAUGAGCACAAACCAAACUUUUUUCAUACUAGCUGUCUCAUAUAGCUUAUCUUCAUAUGGAUUUAUUGCCUUUUUAAAAUACAACCUUGUAUUUUCAUAUUGUAUUCUAAGUUGUGUGCAUUCUAGAUCAAAGGAAUGGAUGUAAAACUAAGGAUAAGGAUGAUAAUUUUAAUUUUAGGCAUGAUGAAAAAUGUUUUGAGGCUUCUUUGCUAUUUCAUACAUACUUCUGAGUGCACUGAUCCUUACAUAGGAAAGCCUUAAGAGCAGGAAGAUAAAAAGCACUGACAAAUUUCUUAAGUUGUCCAACAUGUUUACUGUUGUUUUAGUGAUGGUCUUAACUACGUGUAAUCAGUCGAUUUCAAUCAAUUGUUCUUAAGAAAAUAACUAAAAACAAAAAAGAACACAGGUUUUUUAAUAUUGUUUAGUUGAUAACUGAAAGGGGUGUUUUUGGACAUCUUUACAGUAUUGAACAAUUAAUUAAUAGUGAAAAUGUGUGGUAGGGUUAUGUUUAUACUACUAGAAAAGUCUACACAAAUGUAGGGUUUGUUAAUAUUGAAAAUACAAAUAACUUUGACCUACAAAGGCAUUAGAUAUGAAUUAUAUAUAAGAAUUCUUGUUAAAGAAAUAUGUGAAGAAAAACCUUAUAAAUUUAGCUGAAAAUCUGAAUAUCCUCAAAUUCUCUUUAAUAACAAAAGACUAUAAAGUUAUAUGUAUAUCUAAUAUUAAAACCAAUCCAUUUUCAUCACCUAAAUUAACAUACAGCUUCACUGGGUUACAAUACACUGAUAAGAGUUGACACAUUCAUCUUUUGCAUGAAAUUUGAAAAUUUGUUUCAUGAACUUGAUUGAAAUGACUUUGGCUUACAUAUGUCAUAGAAAUUUUAGAUUAAAAAACACAGAGAAAAUGUUCAGAGAAACAGGCACCAAGAACUGUAUCUAAGUGAUGCUAAUGAAAUUAUAAGUUCUUAAGAUAAGUGAGAAAUCUAAAAACAAAAAGCAUCACUUGUGUAGCCAGAAAUUCAGUUAGAACAUCUCACAGGGUUACCAUCUUAUUCCUCAUGUUAAGAUGAUGAUAACAGCUAAGUAAGGCAUUUUUAAAAGUAGAACAGUAGUCAUUAAUAUGACUUUGAAAAAAGAAAAUGAACUCGAAUAAGAUUCAGAAACAUGCACAUACAUGAUGUAAUUGUGUUGAAUACCUAAUAGUACAUUGCAUAGUACAUUACUGUAACACACAUUACAGAAGUUAGGAUUUCAGAUAUAUUUUUCUGAAGUACAGGAGUUUUCUAAAACGCUGCUCUACAGUAUUAGAAAAUGCUUCUUUAUGAAUACUUUUAAUCAUAAAUCCACAAUAAAGGCAUACAUACCUAAACCAACCUUGAUGCGUAGCUGUGGUCUUUAAUUACGAACAACUUAAUAGGACAUGAAUGAGCAAAUAAUUUAAAAAAAAGUUGUAUUGGAAGAAAUAAAAUUAAAAAACAGAAAUAUUAUCAUCAAAAAGAAGCUGCAGUAAAGAUGAUAACAAUAACAUAUGGGAGUAAUUCCUUCCAUAGGUCCAUAACUAUGUCAAGUCACCACAGUUUAAAUACAGCUAAGCUACAGAGAUAUGGGGAAAAAAAAAAGAAGAGAUAACCAGAUGGUAUCUGAAUUUGAGUUUUUUGCUUGUUUUUGUAUUUAUGGCAAAACUACUAAGACUAUCACUAAUAUUGAACAACUGACCAAAGGGAGGACAGCUGGUAAACAGCACUCUACCACCAAUACUAAACGAUUGAUUGUAACUCUUAUAAUGCACCCACAGUUUAAAGUGCAGGGAAUAUUUUGUGGUAUCACAUGGAUUUGAACAUGGCUUGCCAGCUCCAAAAUCCAUAGCUGUACCACAGGGCUAACUCGCACCUAAACCAGAAUGUGCAUGUUGAGAAUAGUUAUAAGUCUAUGUUUUGGCAAGCGAUAGGAUAUGUACUUGACAUUAAUUUUGAUCACAAUAUUCUUGAUUUCCAGAGAAUAAGACUGAUUUCUUUUCAGGAUACUUCACUCAUCACAACCAGUCAUUAGAAAACCCGUUGCAGCGGAUUCGCUACCCGACUUGCAUGUGAAAAGACUUGCCCUUGAAGCACUUUGAUGCUGUGACUGGUAUCCGAAAUAAUUUGGGCCAUUUUCAUAGGUGCCAUAUCACGUGUGUACAUUGGAAUUUUUAUAUGGACUGUACUAUGAAAUAACACAUUUCAAACUUAAAACUGCGCACUUCCUUCCACUCAAGCAGAAGAAUGGACAGUGAAUGAGGCCCCUGCUCUUCAGCUGAAUGUGUUGUGUUAAGUUUGUAGUUGUGGCCUGCUACUGUGUGGUGACCAAGAAUAUGAGGUUGUGUGAUGAUUUACGCAAGUUGUUAAAACUCAAAAGUAAUAACAUUUUGCUACUUACCGACAUGUUGAAUUCAUAUUUUAGUAAUUAUCAAUGAGUUAGUUUAUCAGCUUUAGAGUAUAUGCAUGCAUUUGAAUUUUACUAUGAAGUCUAAUGUUACUGCUCAAUUCUAUAAAAAAUAAUGGAACUUACUUGAUUCAUAACAUGGACAAUUGUACACAGCAGCAUCUUAUGAAACAUACAAGGGUUUUGGCUUGCCUUAAUAUUUUGUUAGCAAAUAUUCAAUAAUCAAAACUAUAUAUUUUGAUCCACUUAAAUAUAUAUUUAUAUAUAUAAUUUUAGUGUUUUAACAAAUUGCCAAUACUUCAUAGGAGAAAUAGUUUAUUUUAUAAAUUUAC
rnacentral:lncRNA from 1 species